ACGCGUUUCGAGCGGUUGAAGCUCGUGGCAUCGAGGCCCGCCCGCCGGGCCAGCCCGGAGGCCGAGAAGCCGUGCCGCUCGGCGAGCCUGUC
rnacentral:tRNA from 1 species